GAUGAACGCUAGCUACAGGCUUAACACAUGCAAGUCGAGGGGCAGCAUGGUCUUAGCUUGCUAAGGCCGAUGGCGACCGGCGCGACGGGUGAGUAACACGUAUCCAACCUGCCGUCUACGUCUUGGACAGCCUUACUGAAAGGAGAUUAAUACAAGAUGGCAUCGAUGAGUCCGCAUGUUCACAUAGAUUUAAAGGUAUUCCGGUAGACGAUGGGGAUCGCGUUCCAUUAGAUUA
rnacentral:rRNA from 1 species